rnacentral:rRNA from 1 species
GAUGAACGCUGACAGAAUGCUUAACACAUGCAAGUCGAUGGGGAAGUGGUGCUUGCACCAUGGUAACCAUGGCGGACGGGUGAGUAACGCGUAAGGAACUUGCCUGCGGGACUGGGAUAACAGCAGGAAACUGCUGAUAAUACCGGAUAAGGUCAUUAAGCUGCAUAGCUUAGUGAUGAAAGGAGACGCCUGCGGAGAGCCUUGCGUCCUAUUAGCUAGUUGGAGGGGUAACGGCCCACCAAGGCGAAGAUAGGUAGCCGGCCUGAGAGGGUGGACGGCCACAAGGGGAUUGAGAUACGGCCCUUACUCCUACGGGAGGCAGCAGUGGGGAAUAUUGGACAAUGGGGGCAACCCUGAUCCAGCAAUUCUGUGUGCACGAAGACGGUUUUCGGAUUGUAAAGUGCUUUCAGCAGGGAAGAAGGAAGUGACGGUACCUGCAGAAGAAGCGACGGCUAAAUACGUG